AACGAACGCUGGCGGCAUGCCUAACACAUGCAAGUCGAACGAGACCUUCGGGUCUAGUGGCGCACGGGUGCGUAACGCGUGGGAAUCUGCCCUUGGGUUCGGCAUAACAGUUGGAAACGCCUGCUAAUACCGGAUGAUGACGUAAGUCCAAAGAUUUAUCGCCCAGGGAUGAGCCCGCGUAGGAUUAGCUAGUUGGUGGGGUAAAGGCCUACCACGGCGACGAUACUUAGCUGGUCUGAGAGGAUGAGCAGCCACACUGGGACUGAGACACGGCCCAGACUCCUACGGGAGGCAGCAGUGGGGAAUAUUGGACAACGGGCGAAAGGCUGAACCAGCAAGGCCGCGUGAGUGAUGAAGGCCUUAGGGUUGUAAAACUCUUUUACCCGGGAUGAUAAUGACAGUACCGGGAGAAUAAGCCCCGGCUAACUCCGUG
rnacentral:rRNA from 1 species